rnacentral:rRNA from 1 species
GUAGGGAAUAUUGGGCAAUGGUCGGAAGACUGACCCAGCCAUGCCGCGUGCAGGAAGACGGCCCUCUGGGUUGUAAACUGCUUUUAUCUGGGAAGAAAAAGGCCAUGCGUGGCAAAUUGCCGGUACCAGAUGAAUAAGCACCGGCUAACUCCGUGCCAGCAGCCGCGGUAAUACGGAGGGUGCGAGCGUUGUCCGGAUUUAUUGGGUUUAAAGGGUGCGUAGGCGGCUGAUUAAGUCAGCGGUGAAAGACUUCGGCUUAACCGGAGCAGUGCCGUUGGUGCUGGUUGGCUUGAGUGUCGGAGGGGUACAUGGAAUUGAUGGUGUAGCGGUGAAAUGCAUAGAUACCAUCAGGAACACCGAUAGCGAAGGCAUUGUACUGGCCGACAACUGACGCUGAUGCACGAAAGUGUGGGGAUCGAACAGGAUUAGAUACCCCGGUAGUCC